GGGCCCGCACAAGCGGUGGAGCAUGUGGUUUAAUUCGAUGAUACGCGAGGAACCUUACCAGGGCUUAAAUGUAGUGGGACAGGUCUAGAGAUAGACCCUUCUUCGGACUCAUUACAAGGUGCUGCAUGGUUGUCGUCAGCUCGUGCCGUGAGUGUCAGGUUAAGUCCUAUAACGAGCGCAACCCCUAUCGUUAGUUGCCAGCGAGUAAUGUCGGGAACUCUAACGAAACUGCCAGUGCAAACUGUGAGGAAGGUGGGGGAUGACGUCAAAUCAUCACGGCCCUUACGUCCUGGGCUACACACGUGCUACAAUGGCCGGUACAGAGAGCAGCCACUUCGCAAGAAG
rnacentral:rRNA from 1 species